rnacentral:lncRNA from 1 species
GGAGAGAACAACCACCCGAAUAUGAUUGAUGACAAGGUAAAUGAGCCACCAAAUCCAAAUCCAAGUAAAGUCUCACAAACAUAAUAAAUUAUAAUAUAAAUACCAUAAUUAUCACAAUAUAUUUUUUUUACAUUUUCAUUAAUUACACUUAAUACUCUACUAAUGUUUGAGGUUUAUUUGUCUUCUACAGACACAAACCUCAUUCACCUUCACAAGACGAGUAGUAAGGAAGAGAAAGAUGAGCCUUCAUCGCACUCCAGCCAUAAGCACACAACACUGUAGCCACACAACAUUUUUCUGUUCGUCAAUACUCCUUCGCAAAGGUGGUGCAUAAUAUCUCAUUCUAUCUUUCGAUCCUCGGUUCGAUUUGCUUGUUUUGGUUUCAGACUUUGGUUGCAUGGUCGCAGGCACACAUCACAUAAAUAGGGAGCUUCGUCUUCUUCCUUUUGAGGUUGAAGUUGGUUUUCUCCACUUUAUGCAGCCACCUA